rnacentral:tRNA from 1 species
CGGAGUGUAGCACAGUUGGUAGAGCGUUGGUUUCGGGAACCAAAGGACGCUGGUUCGAGUCCAGUCACUCCGACCA